AAAUCCCCGUGAUUAAAAAGAAAAAACAGAGCAACAGAAAGAAGACCAGAAAGAACUUUGUGAUCCGAUACGUGUGAACAACGACCACUUUCCUAUUAAUUUUCAUUGAGCAACUUAUUUUGCAGGUCAGAUAUAAAACUCCCUUUUGACCAUAUCAAUUAACAAAUAUAAAUACAAUCUUCCAUAAAUCAAAUAUUACUGGGCAACAUUUUUUUUUCUUUGUGAAAUUUAUCUUGGAUCAUGUUUUAUUUAAUUUAUUUUUUUUACUUCAUUCAUCAGUUUUAAGAAGUUAAGCACUGCAAAAUGUAAAAUUCACUUCAUCCUAUCAUCCGCCGAAAUGAGCAGAAAAUCAAUCUGUCAAAAGACGGCUUUGACGGACAUCAAAUUCAAAGCAACUCACAAUUUAAGCCUAUCUACUGCACCUCUACUGAAAUAAAAACAUCUCUAGCAUCUCUGAGAAUCACCAAUCUGCGCAUUGCUCCACGAUUCUCCCUCCGUCUUUAUCCCAGCCUAUCGCCUCUGAGCAAAAGGCCUCUCUCCUCCUCCUCUCUAUCAAUCUGGAGCUGUGGUUCUGGUUCGUUUCUGCUUCUCCCUUUCCUUCCUUCCCCUCCUGCCAUCAUGCAUCCUUAACUCGGCUCGGCAGAUGGCUGCAGCAUCAGCACCUCCUCACCAGGACGAGAGGAAGGGAGACGACAAAACAAGAGGGAAAAGGGGGCGCAAGAGGAGAACCUCAUAAAGCAAAGAGAGGAGGAGCAGGAGGGAAGCAAAACAGACUCUGUGGUGAUGUGCAUGUCAGGAGCUGAAAAAAACCCCCGUCUGCUUAUUCCACCUGGAGACAGCUGGCUGUUUAAAGUACAACACAAAACCCAAACAAAGUGCAGGUAAGGGGCACUUAAGAAGCAUUUCCAAGGGGUACUUUAUCCUUUUGAGCUUUUAACCUUUGCUUGUUAUGAAACAUGCUGGAGUUGGUUGUGCGUUCUCUAGAGAAUAAAACAAACAAAAAAAUCCC